CCUCCCAGUUUUCAUACUGGUCCCAGUUCCCAUACUUGGUCCAGUAUCCUCUCCCAUUCCCUACUGGUCCCAGUUUCCCCUCCCCCUCCCAGUUCCCAUACUGGUUCCAGUUCCCAUACUGGUCCCAGUAUCCCCCCCCAGUUCCAUACUGGUCCCAGUUCCCAUACUGGUCCCAGUAUCCCCCCCCAGUUCCCAUACUGGUCCCAGUAUCCUCUCCCAGUUCCCCUACUGGUCCCAGUUCCCAUACUGGUCCCAGUAUCCACCCCAGUUCCCAUACUGGUCCCAGUAUCCUCUCCCAGUUCCCCUACUGGUCCCAGUUCCCAUACUGGUCCCAGUAUCCCCCCCCAGUUCCCAUACUGCUCCCAGUAUCCCCUCCCAGUUCCCAUACUGGUCCCAGUAUCCCCCCCAGUUCCCAUACUGCUCCCAGUAUCCCCUCCCAGUUCCCAUACUGGUCCCAGUAUCCCCCCCCAGUUCCCAUACUGGUCCCAGUUCCCAUCCUGGUCCCAUUCCCCCCCUUGAUUCAGAGUCCACCAACACCUCCGAGCUGCGCAUUUGCCGGAUGAACAAGGAGAGCGGGCCGUGCACGGGGGGGGAGGAGCUGUACCUGCUGUGCGACAAGAGGACAUCGCGGUGGUGUUCCGUAAGGAGACGUGGGAGGCUCGGGCUGAUUUCUCUCAGGCCGACGUUCACCGUCAGGUCGCCAUCGUGCUCCGGACGCCGCCCUAUAGAUCCCUACAGCUGGAGCAGCCCGUGCAGGUCGAGGUGUUCCUACAGCGCCUCACCGACAGGGCACGGAGCAGGGGGUGUCCAUAUACAUACCUGCCCAGAGAGCAGGGUAUGGGGGGAUAUGGGGAUAUGGGGUCAGAGAAGCAGGGUGUAUGGGGGGUCUAUAUAGGGUUAAUAUGGGGGGGUAUGAGAGGAGAGAUAAAUGAUGGGCG
rnacentral:lncRNA from 1 species